CAGCAGAAGACUACGGAACAAUUGUUCGGACUAACUUUGAACGAAAACCACUAAAUUAAUGUCUUAUAUGGCUAUAUUUCUUAAGAAGUGUGGGUUUUAUUUCGACUUCGACGAUAUUGUUAUCGGAAUUUUUUUUCGGUUCAAGCGAAGUUAUUAGCAGUUGAAAGCAAAGCUCGCGAAUAGCCUAUAGUCGCUAUAGUAAUAGUCUAGCCGAUAACUAAAAGGGAUAAAUUCAUUUUGUGGUUCAAUUAUAAUUUAAACUGAUUUCAAGGAGAAUGUGUAGAGAUUUACUUGAUUUUUUUCGUCCAGGAGACGGAGCAGGCAUGGAAUUCCAAUUGCUGCAUGCGCUAGUCUGGAAAAUGGAAGUCCCCGCCUCCGUAUGCAGAGCGUGUGUCAUUGCUGUGACUGGAUCCCACACCACUACGGUCACUUGAGCGCAGAAUACCUUUCCCUGCUGGACCAGAUGGGUCAUGAAGUCUCUCGAGGACCUCAGAUCACUUUCCCUGACAAACAAUACAGACAAGUCAAUAAUUUCAAGGCUGACGAACAGAUUGCCUUCAUUUCGCAUACUCUGAACGCUAUAAAGAAAUUGUAUAGCAGUGGUAAAUAUGAGUCCACCGCCUGGGACCAGAAAGGAGUUGACAAGUUUAUGAAUGACCUCUAUCGCCAGACCUCGGAG